UCCCGCAGGACGGAGUGCUUAAUGCGUGAGACUGCAGCACUAAGGGGCGGAAACCCCCUAACACUUAGACACUCAUCGUUUACGGCGUGGACUACCAGGGUAUCUAAUCCUGUUUGAUCCCCACGACUUUCGCACAUCAGCGUCAGUUACAGACCAGAAAGUCGCCUUCGCCACUGGUGUUCCUCCAUAUCUCUGCGCAUUUCACCGCUACACAUGGAAUUCCACUUUCCUCUUCUGCACUCAAGUUUUCCAGUUUCCAAUGACCCUCCACGGUUGAGCCGUGGGCUUUCACAUCAGACUUAAAAAACCGCCUACGCGCGCUUUACGCCCAAUAAUUCCGGAUAACGCUUGCCACCUACGUAUUACCGCGGCUGCUGGCACGUAGUUAGCCGUGGCUUUCUGAUCAGGUACCGUCAAGAUGUGCACAGUUACUUACACAUUUGUUCUUCCCUGAUAACAGAGUUUUACGAUCCGAAGACCUUCAUCACUCACGCGGCGUUGCUCCGUCAGGCUUUCGCCCAUUGCGGAAGAUUCCCUACUGCUGCCUCCCGUAGGAGUCUGGACCGUGUCUCAGUUCCAGUGUGGCCGAUCACCCUCUCAGGUAGGCUACGUAUCGUUGCCUUGGUAAGCCGUUAACUUACCAACUAGCUAAUACGGCGCGGAUCCAUCUAUAAGUGACAGCAAAGCCGCCUUUCACUAUUGAACCAUGCGGUUCAAUAUGUUAUCCGGNAUUAGCUNUGGUNUCACCGAAGUUAUUCCCAGNCUUAUU
rnacentral:rRNA from 1 species